CGCUAUCUUCAUUUUCGUGGACUUGUUUCUCUCUUUUUUUUUUUAAUUUAAUGUCUGCUACAGCUCGUCUUCAGUUACUACGGAACACAUAGAAGAGGGACGGCAUGUAACUUGUCCAGUGAGAGGAUGCCAAAGAAAAUCCACAUUGCCUCAAGCUGGUUCUAUACCAGGAUGCAUUUGAAGUAGUGAACCCACUUGGUUCUGCCAAAAAGAAGCACAAGGUUUUGGCUGUGUACUUCUCUCUACUCAACAUCCCACUAACACCCUUCAUCAUUGUUUGCGGUUCCUCCUGCUUCGCUGCUGAGACAUUCAUGUUGAGCAUUGACAAGAAGACUGUCAACGACCGCAUCACAACCUUCACCUCUGCUAUCUGCCUAAUGUUUGGCAGUUACUACUGCUUUAACAUACACUACCCUGUAGAACUGGGAUC